CCCACAGUGGUGAAAGACAAAUUGGUAACACAGUGAAUUAUUUCAGUUUAACGUUCAGUUCUCAAGACAAACCGCUGGUCGUUAAAGGCAAGCGUUAUGCACUGAUGAUGAUCCUUCGUGAACGAAAAUGUGAACAGAUUUCACAAAUAUUUUCAGGUUCAGAGGAAAAAACACUUGACAGAGGAAAAAAGACUGUUGCUUAGUCCCCUGCAUGCAUAUACAGGCUGGUACUACCCAUGUCACAAGCCACCAUGACUUUGUCCCAGAUUCAUAUAUUCAGCUAUGCCCUUGUCAUUCUCACUUGGAUAUUUCAGAGCCACCUCAAAUUUAACAUGUGCAGAACUGAACUACUGAUCUCCCUCUCCCCCAUCCCAAACGGCUUGCAUCACAGCAUAUGGCAACAAAUCCAGAACCUGGAAGCUGUAACUGCAUAUUCUCUUUGUUACCCUCCACAGUUUCUAAGUGGUCAGUUUUGCCUACAAAAUACAUCUUGAAUUUGUCUACUCAUUUCUAUUCCUAUCUGUUACCACCCUAAAUCAAUUGCUACUAUCUCACAAAUGAAC